UUCAGCCCGCUACAAGAUAAGAUUAUCAACAUUACAAUACCAAUGAAUAAAACAAUUAACGGGAAGGAGUUUUCAAACAACAUAUUGUCCAUCAACAAUGCUAUUGAUGCCUUGGAGAGCGCAGUGGUCCAAGCAGCUCAUUCUAGUGACAAAAAUAUUUUAGCACACAUUCCUGCGGAGCCGCAAAAUUAUUUCCUUCAUCAGCUGAUGAAAAUUGCAGGAAUAGAUAAAGAAAGCUCGGGCAAAAAGGAAAAUCUGGACAAAACUUUAAAAGACUUUGGGAUACACCAAACCAAUCUUUUAGCUACCCA